UGAGUACGAGACGCUAAGGCGUCGAAGUAGUGGAUGUCAUACUUCCAAGAAAAGCUUGCACUGUCAUAGAUAAAAAAUGCCUGUACCAUAACCGACACAGGUGGGUAAGUAGAGUAUACUAAGGGGCGCGAGAUAACUCUCUCUAAGGAACUCGGCAAAAUAACUCCGUAACUUCGGGAGAAGGAGUGCCUUAUUCUUAAGGUCGCAAUAACAAGAUCCAAGCAACUGUUUAUCAAAAACACAGGUCUCCGCUAAGUCGUAAGACGAUGUAUGGGGGCUGACGCCUGCCCAGUGCCAGAAGGUUAAAGAAGUCGGUUAGCAAUAGCAAAGCUGGUAACUGAAGCCCUGGUGAACGGCGGCCGUAACGAUAACGGUCCUAAGGUAGCGAAAUUCCUUGUCGGGUAAGUUCCGACCCGCACGAAAGGCGUAAUGAUUUGGAUGCUGUCUCGGAGAGGGGCUCGGUGAAAUAGACUUGUCUGUGAAGAUGCGGACUACCUGCACCAGGACAGAAAGACCCUAUGAAGCUUUACUGUAACUUGAAAUUGAAAUUGGACUUUAUUCGCGCAGUAUAGGUGGGAGGCGUUGAUUAUAAUCUUGUGGGAUUAUUGGAGCCAUCAGUGAGAUACCACUCUUGUAAUGUUAGAUUUCUAACUUUGAAUCAUUAUCUGGUCAAAGGACAGUUUCAGGCGGGCAGUUUGACUGGGGCGGUCGCCUCCUAAACGGUAACGGAGGCGUACAAAGGUUUCCUCUGAACGGUUAGAAAUCGUAUCUAGAGUGUAAAGGCAUAAGGAAGCUUGACUGUGAGACCUACAAGUCGAGCAGGGACGAAAGUCGGUCUUAGUGAUCUGACGGUACUGAGUGGAAAGGCCGUCACUCAACGGAUAAAAGUUACUCUAAGGAUAACAGGCUGAUCUCCCCAAGAGUUCACAUCGACGGGGAGGUUUGGCACCUCGAUGUCGGCUCAUCGCAUCCUGGGGCGGUAGUACGUCCCAAGGGUUGGGCUGUUCGCCCAUGAAAGCGGUACGCGAGCUGGGUUCAGAACGUCGUGAGACAGUUCGGUCCAUAUCCGGUGUAGGCGCUAGAAUAUUGAGAGGAGCCUUCUUUAGUACGAGAGGACCGAGAAGGACAUACCUCUGGUGUACCAGUUAUCGUGCCAACGGUAAACGCUGGGUAGCUAUGUAUGGAGUGGAUAACCGCUGAAAGCAUCUAAGUGGGACGCCCACCUC
rnacentral:rRNA from 1 species